UACGAAGGGGGCUAGCGUUGUUCGGAAUCACUGGGCGUAAAGGGCGCGUAGGCGGCUAGAUAAGUCGGGGGUGAAAGCCUGUGGCUCAACCACAGAAUUGCCUUCGAUACUGUCUGGCUUGAGACCGGAAGAGGUUAGUGGAACUGCGAGUGUAGAGGUGAAAUUCGUAGAUAUUCGCAAGAACACCAGUGGCGAAGGCGGCUGACUGGUCCGGUUCUGGACGCUGAGGCGCGAAAGCGUGGGGAGCAAACAGGG
rnacentral:rRNA from 1 species